CAUGAUUUUGGGUGGCUUUUAGG
rnacentral:piRNA from 1 species